ACAGGUAUUUUGUAAGGAUUUUUCAGAAAUGAAGUAUUUGUUUAAUUCCAGACAAACUUUACUCAGCAUACUGUGAGUUGAGAACACUUACGAUCACACAAAGUCAUCAAUGUUGUUCACUUGAAACAGAAAAAAGAGAAUCUCUUAAUUCUGAAUUCUCCAAUCUGCAUGUCCCAUAGAGCUACUGAUAGUAAGUGCGGUAGGAUGUGUUGCAUAUGCUCAGGUGGCCUGUCUCUGGGAAAGGAAGCAGAUGGCAAGGUCCUUACAGGAGAAAAAACCACUGAAUAGAUUGGCUUUUGCACAUUUGGAGGUAGCUGGAAAUAACUGGAAUGGGACAUGCUCCUUUCAUAAAACAUCAGUCUCUUAUCAGUGAAGUUUAUGAGUUUAAAACACAAUGUCAACAUAUAUUUAUGUGAUCGUAAGCUGCCAAAUUGCAUUAAAUGCAAAAAAAAAGGGAAAAAGAAUGAAAAGCAGACCGAAUUCCACUUCUGCCCUCCUUGCUUCAGACACAAGCUUCACUUUCUUCCUUCCUUAGCAUCAGUGAGCAUACAGUCUUCUCACUGGAUUUUCCUGUUGAACUUCCUGCAGAGCUUGUGUAAGUGUAGGAUACACAGUUUUUUCUCUCUCUGUUUUUAAAUCUUCACAGCAGCCUGUGAGAGGUGGUUGUAUUUCCGUUUUAAUUUCAAGGAAUGAGCAUCCAUUGCAUCAGCACCUGUUCACAUGACAUUAUUCUUUAUGACAUACCUCCGGACAUUUCAGAUUUGGUGUGCAGAAUGUGCAUACCCAGCUGAAAUUUCAGAAGGGAUGUGGUGUAAGCAUUAAUUUCAUGAUAGGAAAGGAAUUUAAUUCUGGAGAACAUUGAGCUGUCUUAGCAAUGGAUGCUUCUUUCUUUUCUGAAGUUCCCUGCUGUGCUGCUUUAACUGCUGCAGAAAAAGGGAAGUGAAAUGCUGCAUGGGCUAAAAGGCCUGUGAUUAAAAAUAGUUCAAGCGCAUAAUGGAAGAUGGUAUUGUAAUGAGUGUACCUAGGAGACUGAAUACGUGUUGCACAGGCAGCAAUUUGAUGUUUCUAAUAGUUUCUGUGCAGUUUGUGGAUACAGACUGCUUUCCAAAAGAAUUCUUUGAAGCACGUUCUAAGGUGCCAUGGUGAACCCUACUUUUAAGUAAACAGAUUUUAAAGUUCAGUAUAUCGAAACAGUGGGACAGAGAUUUAGUGUAACUUUUUGCUGCUUAUACCUAUAGAGCGAACUGCAAAAAGGAUAAGAACACCUUGUUUUAAGUUAAAGUAUGUUUUAGCAAGACCAGAAAUAUUGAACUCAUCUUUGUGCAUUUCCAUUCAAAACCAAUUGCAGUUACAAUUUUCUCUCCAUUGUUCUGGGUGAGCCCUUUCCUUCUUCUUAUUCUGCCCAGUGUUGGCAGUAGCAAUACUGGAGAUCACAGGCGAGGAAUUCUUCCUGCACUCAAUAUCAUGCAUACAUGAGGUUGUAGUGGCUUGGAAGAACCAUUGCAGUGAGCUUUAUUUUCAUGCAAAUCUUUACUGAGUGACUUCUGUAAAAUGCAAAUACUGGAGGCAGUGUGCAACUUAUCUGCAAGAAUUUAAUAUGCAGUUUUGUUUAAAUGGUACUGAUCUCAACAUCCAAACCAUCUCAGCUGAUACGAUUCUCACAGAGAAUCUGGCUGAGGUCAGACACUGAGUAUGGAGCGUUCCGCUUCAAACAGCAGGAAGAGGUUAGAGGGAACUGAAGACAAUUUCAUCAGCUGUUGAUGAGCAGCUCCACAAAAUAGGUUGGAGUUGCUGUUCAGUUAUCAGCCAUUGGCGCCUCUAUUUACCCAGUGAAACCUGGAGCAUAAAUGAUUCUUCCUGUAAAGACAGCAGGUCAAGCCUAUCAGUUAAUAUUUUAUUUAUCACUUGAUUUUCCCCUUGAACACCUAGCAGUAGUAGCCGUUCUUAGGGCUUCCCCAUGUUUCUUGUUUUCUUUGGUUUUGCUGGCCAUUAGUGUACAAUCAGUUUGCUUCCAGGUGGAGGAGUACUAGCAAAUAUGUUCUUCUUAUUUUUUUCUCCUGCACAUAUUAGAAGGAGUUAGAAAACCAUAUAUAGCUGAGGAAGCCCAAACCUGCAGCCCAGCAGCAGCAGCUGUGAGGGAUCCUGCAUCUAAUUAGAAAAAAACUUCUCCUUGCUGCCUUUUCUUCUGAUAAACUUUUAUCUUGGAGAGCUUGUGCUCUCCAUGCCCUUCUCAGCAGUCUCUGUUGCAGGACCGUGCUGUAAUCUAGCUCAAGUGGCAAGUGUCCUGGAAACUGCUGCUGGGAGGCACUUAAGGCAGAUUUCUUUUUUACAGUGUGAAGGAUUUCUUCUCUUAAAUAAAAUGACAUAGUUAAAUGCAGAACAGACUAUUCCUGUUGGUGACUUUAGGCAGGUUCUAGAUCUUGUGCGUCAAAUAAGAACAGUGUGGUGAGAUGCCUCUGAGCCAAGCUAAGCCUUCCAGCCAGCUGCACACACAUCUUCCAAAUCUCAACUAAGUUGUCUGGUGCAAGUGCUCCAUGUUAGUGGAUCAUUUGUACAGGAGAGGCUUUAACAUCUUUGUAGUAUACUAAUCUAUAGAUAAACAUACAGGUGAACUUUUGCACAUGAUGCCUCAACAAUAUUAGUUUUUCCUUUGAAAAUACAUGAAGUCUUUUGACAAAGUAAGAGAGCUUUUAGCUACAGCUAGGUAAUACUACAUAGACACUUCAGCUCCAAUGUCUUUAAAGGGCUGUGUGUGUUCUGACUGAUAUCACAUCUGUGGUGAAUUUCAUUGAACUAAAGUAGUCCUAAUUGGUUUUGAAUCUAGUUUUUGAAACUAGUUUUUAUCCUGCUGUAUAUACUCGCAACUUAUCUGUUGCUUUGUUGUGAAUGAUGUAUUGAGAAGAUGAAAGCUGUGCACCAAGUACAUUGCACACAGAUACAUUGGCCUGUUCUCUGCCUGGAAGUUACAUUCUACCUGCAUGAUAGAGGAUGAGUUCUUGUCUGUCAGCUUCUGAAAAGCUGCUGAGCUUCUAUCGGGAAUACUUUUGAAACAGAGCAGGGACUUGUCAUGCUGGGGUGUACAGACAAACUAACUGGCAGAAUCUCCAGACGGGCAAGAAGCAGAUUUAUCCUUGUGUUUUUAGAACCAUUUAAAUAAUUUCUAUUCUUGUGUAUAGAAAUUAUUUCCUUAGAACACUGCGUAAGCAUUUGCUUAAGUUUGUUGGCAGAACAGUAACAAUGGCAUCUUGAAAAUACUUUGUUAUAAAAAAUUUAUAUGGUUGGGCAAAAAAGGCAUUUUCUUCUCCUAAUAAGCUUUAUUUUAAGAACCUCCAUAAAAAACUGAAGGAAUAUAAGGCAGUUUAGUAAUUUGCAGUUUUUAUGCACUAGUCUUUUUCCAGUACCCAGAACUGACUACUGGGAGUUUUAGUGCCUUCAGAAAGAGGACUGGGUGAACCUAAAUUCUUGCAACUUAAAAAAACAGGUCUUGAAGGACUUCGGUGUGGUUGGAGAGAGAGGAGACCAUACUGUUGGGAAGAAUCAGGCCCUCAAUUUUACCAGUGCCUGAUGGUUUACAGAAGUCUGUUUCUAGUCUGUCCUAGUUUCCAGUAGAGUUAAUUUCUUCUCAUUAGCUGUUACAGCACUGUAUUUUGGAUUCAGAAUGAGAAGGGUGUUGAUAACCCACUAAUGUUUUGGUUUCUUCAGUAAGUUAAAUUCAUCCUAAGUCAAGGACUUUUUUUUUAUUUCCUUGUCUCAUGUUCUGCCAGUAUGGAGGUAUGCAAAAACCAAACAAAAUGGGAGGGAGCAUAGCUGGGACAGGUGACCCAAACUGACCAAAGGGGUUCCACACCAUAGAAUGUCAUGCCUAGUGUAUAAAUUGGGGAGAGUUACCAGGGAGAGCCAAUCUGGGCUCUGGAAGGGGCAUCUGGCGUGGGUCAGUGGGUGCUGAGCAAUUGCAUUGUGCAUCACUUGCUUUUUUUUUUCCUUUUUAUUAUCAUUAUUAUUAUUUACCAUAAUUAUUUUAUUUUAUUUUAAUUUCAAUUCUUACGCUGUUCUUAUUACAACAUGUAAGUCUUACUUUGAUUCUCCUCCCUAUUCCACUAGGGUGGAGUGGGAUGUGAAGGGGGUUUAAUGAGUGAGUGGCUCUGUGGUGUUCAAUCUCCAGCUGGGCUUAAAACCACCAUGUAGUCUAACCCUUUUUCAGGGCUUUUCCAGUUUGAAAAUGUAGCAGUUUACUAGCUGGAGGUUCCUUGUCUCAGUUGAAGCAACUUGGGAAGUUGGGUCAGAUCUCUUAAGUGAUACUUGAUGGCCUUAGACCUGAAACAGUCAUGGAUUGUUUUUCCAGUUAGUUAAAUUAACAUUUAGUGCUUGCAGUUGUUAAAAAAAACCAAAGACAAAACAACCAGCCCUUACAAAAAACCCUAAAUUGCAAACAAGGAAAGCCGGCAUGGCUGUACCCACAGCACCCUGCAGACUGGGCACCUUUUCCUUUUCUCCCUGGGAAGAGUGGAGGAGUUGCAGUAGUGUCCUUGUAGGUAGGUGGUACCUGGUCAGGUUUGAGAAACAUCCCACUAAUGCAGCAGUUUAGGAACAGCUGGAUCAUUUUUCAGUAAACAUGAGUUAUUGGCAGGGAUGGCUCUAGUCCAACAUCAGGUCUGGGGCCUCUUACUAAAGUUUGCUGUGUGCCACUCCAGGAAGAGGAAAAGAACUGUCAAUUCUUUUUGCUUUCUGUUUUUGCUGGUAUGGCCACUUUCCAGUAUUUUAUAAAUCUGUUUGUGCUGCAGUGUGCGGUCUCUUCCCACCUUGGAAGUAUCCUUGAUGCAGUGUCAGGAAGGUCAGAGUUAAAAGGACUGUGGUGACGUGUUCACGGAAUUCUGCUGGGAAUCCAGAGAUCUUGUACAGUGGUAAAAAUUAAGCCAGGAGAAUAUUAGCACACUAACAUUCCUGAGGACAGCAAGUCAUGUUCAACAGGGUCAAAAACUGGAGGAGUGCACAUCAUAAAAAGGUCCUUUAAUAGCCAGAUAGCUGAGCAGUAAGCUCAUAAAUAAGGACAGUCAUGCUUACUCCAGAAAGUUGAGCAGCCACCUUUAUUCUCCUGUUUCCAAACAGUUCUGGAUUCAAUUAAAAAUUUUUGGUGGACACAACUUUAAAAAUUACUCUUAAUCAUAACCAUUUCUGUCAAAUUUGUUUUUCUGCCCCACGCAUUUUCUUUCAGCUAUUAUUUAGGGGUUCACUACAAAAACCCUAUUAACGAAUACCUGGUCAGUCUUUAUGCCAUACAUGUUGUUUUGGAUUUCUGUAGCUUUGGUUUUCCAAAUUGUUGUACCUUUGCAGGAUGCUAAUACAUUGCAUUACAUCUAAUAAGCAGUCUUUAGGCUUUUUGAUAGAGCACUGCUGAGCUAAACACAUAGGUCAGAGGCAAAAUUAAAUUUCAUAUUGAAGAGCAAGUCUUGUAGCAGUAUCUCCUGCUGAAUUUGCCAGCAGGAUUUCUCAGCUGCUUCUCGUUCAGAUUCAAAGUGAUACUUGACCAUCAGUGCUGUUCCCCUUGUUACAAUGAGGCUGCUCUCUGGAAGCAGUUCUUGCUACUCUGAUAUUGUACAAACCAAUGAAUACUAGUAGAGACAUUGAAUUUAAGGUUCCUGAGAAAUGAGGACGCUUAAACCCUUAAUGGUAGUGUUGUAGCUUCUCGCUUCUACUCUUCCUUUCCUCUCCCAUUGUGUGGGUUGGAUGUACACCCGUACUUGUCUCCUUAUGCAGAGAGAAAGAGGAGAAAAUUUGUUCCCUGCAGUGUCUUGGAUGUGUUGAGCCAACAAGCUGCUGGUGCAGGUGCAAAGCCCUGUUGCAAGGUUUGAUAUUUUUUUGAGUGGACCUUGCUGUUUUUCAAAUGAUUUUUUGAUGUGGUAUGUAAACAUAAAAAUACUGCAGGUUUCUUCAGAUUUCUUUGAUAUUAUUUCUUGUCUACAUGAAGUAUGAGAACUUGAGUUACUAAUUUUGUCAGUAUUUCUAGAUGAUAGAUGUUGCACAGAAACGUAGGCAUAUGCUUAGGAGCUAAUUUGCUCGUAAAAUCAUUUUGUGCAAAAACCAUUCAUCAUUCCUCAUGUCUGUGAAGCAUUAGAACAUAUAUUUUCUUUAAUGUUCUGGUAAACAUUAAAUCUUCUCUAUGUUUCUUUCAUGGCAGUUCAUAGAAAACAAAUGUGCUUUUUUCCCUCUCAUUUUUUGCUUGACUGACUCUUGGUUGUAAAGUUUUAGCCUUUUCUCUCAUGUCAAAUAGAUGUUUUUCAUCUACAUGCCUUAGGAGUCGAUUCAGAAGGUUUUGCAGUGUAGCAUGUAAAAUCUAAAGGUCACAAAUUAAAUCUAUUUCUCUGGGCCAAAGUGGGGUCCGUGCAGUGAAGGCUGCACCUUCCCCACUGUGGGAGGCUGUGUGGCUGCAGAGGGAGGUAUCACCACCAAUGUAGGUUGUCUUUUUUCCUUCAUUGGAAAUAGCUUGAAAAAUCCUUUUAGCAGCUAGGCUGAGGUUUAAAAUAGAAGCAGCUAAAGAACAUCAAAUGUGUAGCUGUAUCAGUAGAAGUUGCUGAAAUGAGAUACAAAUGUGCAAGUAUUUGAGUAGCUCUGUGCGAUUUUUCUGGUAUAAGAUGUGUGCAGUGUGGGAUGGGCAGAGUGUUUCUGUUUAUACAUAUGGAAGAAAACUAAUGUGGUUGUUCAGCUCGUAAUUACUGUGAUUAGCUCCACCCCUUCUUUGACUGAGGAAUAAGUAAUAAUGGAAAUUUGCAUUUAAGGAAUACAUGAAAAGCAGUGCUCUUCUGUUAUAGCAGAAAGUCUUAGAGUCUAGCAUAAGGGCUUAGUGUCCAAUUUUGCAGUGGGAAUAAUCAUCCUUCUUCUCAGAGGCAACACUUGGAAUGUUUAGUUCUUUAACUUCAGUAAUUUUCACUCGUUUGAACAUCUUACAUUAAUUCUGUGUUUUCUGUUCUCUAAUUAUACAAUAGCCAUAUAUUUGAGUUCUUGGGAUUCAGGUGUGAUAACCUGACUUUCCAUGAAGAUUAUUUCUGCAGGGUAGAGUUUUUUGGCAUUCUGAAGAAAAUUGCUUAAUUUUUUUGUAGACUUACCUUGUUUGAACUGUCAAGUGCAACUGCAAGCAUGUGUCUGCAGAUAUGAUCUGAGCAUUUCCUGCUGAGAUAGGCUAUUUUCAGUGUUGUUUUUAUGUGAGCAAAGAGUGGAAGUGAAUUAGCUCAGAAAGUUUUCUACUCAAUACUUCUACAGAAUGGCUGAUCUUUGGAAAAAGAGGGGACAUCAGACAUUUAGGAAAACAGUUGUACAUUAGACCAGUAUAGUCAGUCAUCUUCACUAAUGGACUUUAUUCUCCCUUCUGAAGGUCUCUUAGUAGUGAAGAGUGGAGUUUGUCUCAGAGGUCUGUAAUUUGUUUGAGCUGGCUGAAACAAAUAUUUUAUGUUUGAGUGCACACAGGUCCUUGAAGUCAAAGCUGACUUCAUUAAUUUCUCACACUAACACUCUGGUUUCUGGUUUGGCCACAGUGCAGGUUUUGUUUAGGAUUGGGAAUGAAAGCUAGGGAAGGGCCGGGAUACUGCUUUUUGUGUGCUUGAGGUAGAUGGCUGUAGGAGAAUAAAUCAUACAAAAAGGUUAAGUAUGGUGGAUCCCAUCAUUUACCACAUGACUUUCCAAAUGAGAAACACUUCUGCUAGUCUGAUUUUACUGGGAGAGUGUUGGUUACAUCUCCUUGGUAUUAUGUGUGGCCAUGUUUCCAUACUAGGCUGGCAGCUAUUCCGUGCCAGAAUGAGUAGCUACAUUAAAGGAACCAUAAAGAAGUUUCCAGGAAGUGAGCAGGAAGGCCAAGACAGUGAAAUACGUGAAAUGAUUUCAGGUGUCCAUCUUAAGAUGUAGGUGGGUAGUGAUGGACCAUUCGCCAGCUGAGGGCAACUGCUGGCAAGUUAUUUGUAGGUUUUCCUUUCAAUUAAAGUAAUCUGGUGAUAAUGUCCAUAUACAAGGCUAGGAGAAAUGAGUGAUGCAUGUGAGAUGCAGAUAGUGGCUGCUUCUACUAGCUGUAGACAGGGAAUAAAGCAGGUGACACAGAUCUGUGUGGGUGAGCCGGGGAAUUCCACCCAAAGACUGGAAAGACGUAGCCCUCCUUGUGCAUUACAGGAUCUUGUUGAAGGACUGUUCUGUCUAAGUGUGCUAUGGAGUUGUCUGGCAGGCAGCAUGCUGGAGACGCUUGCUGUUUGACUUCAAUCUCCCUGUAAUAUCUCUGAAGAACACAUUUGGGCUGUGCUCCUGGAGUGGGUCAUCUUGCUUUCCCGAAAGUGUGCCCAUCACGGACCGGUAGACUCCACUUCUGAGAUGUGCAUAUCCGGCAAGUAAAGUCAUCUUAGGUUUUUGAAGCAAAAAUGUAUAUGAAGUCUAAAACCCUGAAUUGAAGUAAAAGUUUCCAGAGGAAUUUUGCAUAGGCAGUUAAAGGACAACUUGCAGUAAUAUCAAAGUUGCAUUAAAAGAAAUCCGAUGUAGUCUGGUGAUGUGGUCUCGGUCUUCUGUGUUAUAUCUUAAAUUUUUCUAAAUAUGAUGACUCAGUGCAAAGUAGCAGUAGUAUUUAGGUAGGGAGAAGAAACCUGGUAAAGUUGCUGGUUGUUUUUUAAGAAAGUAACAUAAGCCUUUUUUUUUGUUAAGAGAAUGCUUGCAGUGGGCUGUAUCUUCCCAUUUUCAUCUUUUCCUCUCAGCUCGAUUAGCCCCACAAGGAGUGCACCCUUUGGAGGAAGGAUACAGGAUAAAACUGCUUUACAAGUGUAUGGCAGCAAUGGAACAGCUUUUUCCUAGCAUGAAAUCCAAAUCCAAAGUAGCGACUUGCUUGUAGUCUGGGUAACCAGGAGAGGAGUAGGAAGUACUAACACUAAAUGAUAUCUGUGCUGUCUUCUGUGGCUGUUUCAGUUUGAGCUCCUAAAAGCUUGAAAUGCAAAGAAGUUGAGUGUUUUACAUCUUUUUAACCAUUAUGUAUUUCUUACAAAGCCUCUAGUAAUGAGUUAAUUAAUGCAGGACAGACCACAGGGAUGUUUGGUGUAACUUUUUUUUCUAUUCAUAAAUACAUGUUUUUCAGAUACUGAGCUGGAUCUGGCCAUAGAGAUUGUGAACUUUGCUCUUGAUGUAACAGAAACAUGGGGUACAUAAUUCACAUUGAUUCUCUAUUGUCAGGUACUGUGUUGGUAGAUGAAAAUUAGAUAAUGAUGCCUGAAUUGAUUAAUCCUCUGGGCCCUGAGAAACUGCAGUGUAUAAAUAUGUAAGAAGACCUCCAGGAGGAAGCGUGGGAUUGGCAAAGCUAGGUGAAUCUCAAGCAAAGACAGACUCCUUUUUGAUGCACAGAGCCUCUGCUUGUGUUAGCAAAAAAUUCUUCUCUGUUCCAAACUGAGACCACAAAAUCUUUGGUGAGAAAAAACCCCACAAUUAGACUUGAAUACCAAGAGCCUGAGAAUGAUUGCAGUUACUUACAGAGAUAGGAUUGCUUGAUGAAAAUUGAGAUAUAAGUGUGAUUAGAUGUUCAUUCCAUGUUGUUACACUCAUGGUUCAGUCCUGUCGUUAAAACAGUUCAGCCAGUGCAGGUGUCUUACAGGCUGCCUGUAAGAAGAUGGCUGAUGGCAGAAUGAAAGGAGAAGCAAAGCCUGGGGCUGUGUAAAUGUGCACUUUUUUUUUCUCUAUUAGUUAUCUAAAUAAGCUAUUUUAGAAACUAUAGUUAUUAACAGCAGUCAGAAAUCAGGCUCUGAAAAAGUUAAAACUCAUUUUUAUAUCCUCAGUACACAAGUGCCUGGACCCCUUUAUCUACUAAUAAUGUUUUAGCUUCCAAUCUCGUCUCAUCUCAUCUCAUCUCAUCUCUCAUAAUCCUUGAAGAACAUUCAUGAUACUGUAUGAAUUGAAUUGGUAAGUUACCUCUCCUUGUGCAUAUGGAGAAGUUUGAUUGUUGGCUUUCCUGAAAGGAUUUCAGGACUUCAUUUAUGCCAUCUGGUAUUACAGCCUCUACACACACACUAGGAUACUAAAGCUGUGUCACAGUAUCAAGUCAGUUGGAGCCUGGAUAUGCUUUUAAAUUUACUAAAAACUAGCAAAAUUCCUAUUUCCCUGUAAGUGACCCUUUGCCUGUGGCAGUGCUGUGGGUUGUAGCCUGCAGGGCAAUGCUGCUCUUCACCUCCUGACUGAUGCAGCUGCUGGCUGAUGUCUGGCAGAGCAGGAAACAGGUGGAAAGGGAUACAAUUACAUCCUGGAUUCUUGGGCUGGGUACCAUGCUCUUAAACUUGUUAGAAUAGUACCUGGAAUAAUCAAGCUAUGCUCCACUACUCGAAUCAAGUUUAUUUUUAGCCCAGUGGUUUUUGAAUUGAAACUGCUCAGGCAAAACUUGUUUUUGAAGUAUUUAUAAUUGCUUCUUACAGUGUUGCACACAAAUUUCAGCUGAAUCUGGACUGAAGGAAUUUGGGCAUACCAGUAGAUGGCUUCUCGGUGCCUCUUUGUGACCUUACACUGGGGGAAAAAUGAAAAAAAAAAAAAGAAGAAGAAAUAACUGACAAGUAGAGAAGUUGACAGAAGAUUAUAUGACUUCUCAGUUUCUUUUCAAUAUUUAUUGUUACAUUUUUUCCUUUUCUAGGAGUUUUCUACGUUUCCUGGACUUAGGCUUUGUCCCUCUCAAUCUCUUAUGGUUCAUCAUGCACCAAUAGUCAGCGUGGUCAGAAGGCUUGGCUCGUACUUACCUCACAGUUUAGAACUGAUUCUCCUUGAAAACAUUUAGGAAGCAAAAAAAAAAAAAAGAAACUAGUAGUUCACAUUUUUCUGGUUUUCUAUAUAUUAAAUUGAAGUGAUUUGGAAGCUGGGUUUUAAUGAGCUUUUAGUAGAGGUGAGAUAGAGAAGUUUUUGUGAGAUAGAGAAGUUUUGCUCACUAUAUUUGUCUGAAAACACCUUUCUGGGUGUCACCUGACUCAGUGCCUUCUCAGGUACCUGCUGCUUUGCAAGACUCAGGUAGAAUAUUUGUGAGACUGACACAACAAGAGAGGCAGAGUAGGAUGAAAAUCAGUUGUGUUCUCAGAAAUGGGGCUCAAUGCCUGCUUUUUUCACAUGUGAUUUGGGUUGGGAGAAAAAUUGAACCAAAUAGUUCUGGUGUUUUGUUCAUUGAUAGCUGAUGAAGAGCAGCACAGAGCUGCAUGACCUGGCUGAAGGAGGGCAGCCCUUGGGAGCUGGAGAGAGAUGAUGAAGGAUAGACACUGUGAUGGGCACUAAAGCAUGGACUUGAAGUGUGCACUCUGGUGGCAGGUACUCUAUCUGGUCCCGAUGGUCUGACAUAUCUGCGGAAGGCUUAGGUGCUGUGUGUCUUAGCUGUGGUUUUCUCCAUUUAUUAAUUUCAGUGUUGAUUGAAAUAUUUGUCUUUAUUUAUAGCAUAUCCAACAGCUGUGUUGCAACAGAGAAGGUAAGUUUAGAGCUUGGGAUUGGGGGCAAAGGGGUUGACAGCCAAGCUCUGGACAGUUAAUCUGUUUCGAAUUUUGUUCUGAUACAAUCCUUAAAGUUUAUGGACAGAUGUUGAGUUUAUGGGCAUUUGUCAGAUUGAUCAGACAGCUGCUAAAACUAUUACAAAAUGGCAAGAAACAGGGCAUUUAUUAUACAUUAUAUGGGGAGGAGAAGAGACUAAUUUAAUAAAUUAGAUUUUUAACCAUUCUUGAAGUAUUUAUUUGUCCUUUAAUUUACAGAUGCAGAUGCAAAUUCACCAAUCUGUUCAGUGAGAUAUUUUUCUUGUUCAUUUUCCUGAUUGAGAAUUAGCAUUAGUGUCGCACUUGUUGCUAGAAACUAUUGAGCUGGUCGUGCUCAUUUUUCUCUGUUGAGCUCAGUGAGUUGUGCUUCCCACUCUGUGAUGGGGAAUUGCUGGUUGCUCUUAGCUUUGCUUUAAAGAUAUGAGUUCCUGGGUUUGGUCAAGUUUAGGAUAUGUUUUUUCUAAAGCCUAAUAAAAUUAGCUAAUACAUAUCUCGAUUCUUUGAUGUGGGUUAUAAAGGACUUGCCUGUGAAUACAUAUGAAUUACCUUGUUUUGACAGGUAAUUAAAUCUGGAUCUCUUCCUUAGGUAACAAAGCAAACAGUCUCAGAUAUGCUUUGCUAGGCUGAAUCAUGUGUAGACAGCAAGGUUUUAUUACCUGUGGGGAAAAAUGCAUUGUAAGAACAUGAAAUCUGGAUGACCUUGAAUGAAAACAAAAAAAGAAAAUUUUAUGAGAUACAGUAUAUUAAUGCCCCAGUUUGGAUGUAGGAAUUCCUGAAUAUGAAUUUUGUUUUAACUGUCAUUAAAGCUCUGUGUACAAUCUGUACUUCUGCAGGAAAUGUGAAACAUCCCAGGGAUUGGCAGGCUGCCUGAAGAACCCCAGCACCUGCCUUUCAUGGCAAGGGACCUGAGCAUUGACAUGCCCAUGGUAGCAGUUCCAGGUGGGUGUGUUACCUGUAUUUGCAGACUUUUCUUGUUCUCUGCAUUGUACAAGAAACUGCACGUGCCUUGUACAAUCUGUUUGGUCCUCUUGUAAUGUCCAAUUUUCCUAAUAAACAUCUUUUGAAGUC